AACCCUGGUCUAAAUUAUUCAGGUCAGAUAUGGUAGCACUAGUUGACUUGGUUUCCACCAAGCCAUUCAUUAAGGUUGUUUGCCUAACAUUCCUUUAUGGUAAAGUGCUGAAUAACAUUCUGGGACUCUCUAGCUGUUUCCUCCUUGGGAUGGACAAGAGACCAGGUAUCCUGAUAGAUGGAAGUUGUCUCCACGUUUUUGAAGAAGGAACCCAUCUCAAUUGGAAAAGAAGGCAGUUGUCCUCUUGAGAAGAUGUCGGGAUGUGUGAGGAAAAAGCAAUUGGUAGUUUGGAAGAGCAAAACACAAAAGUGGUAGAAGGAGGGAAAGAAUGUUUUUAGCUGAAGUUAACUAAUGACAUGAAUACUUUGGGAUGGGGGCUAAUUUGCUUAUGUGGGUUGUGAUGAAAUUAUCCUCUUGUGACCAUACAUUCUGUUGAAAUCGUUCAGUAGUUUAGGAAUUCACUUGGGAAAAAAUAAUUGCAUGAAUAUUCACAUGCAUUUUUAUUAGCCUCAAAUGUAACCAUUUUGGUGCAUGUGCUUUAUAGCAUUUUUGCAAUAUUUUCCUCAUAGAAAAUGUAUUUUGGGUAUCUUCUAUAUCCAGAUAUUUGACAAAAUGUCACAGGGGCUGAAGCUGAAUAAGGGUUAUGGAGCAUGUAAACCAGGCACUGAAUGUCCCCAGAUCCUGUUAGGGUGAUUAUUUAUAUCUUCAUAUAGCAGAGAUCUAAAGGAAGGGUCUAAGCUUGCUUGGUGGAACACUUUAAGAUAAGGAUGGGAAUUGUUUAGCAACCAAGGCUUCAAAUUUGCAUUUUAAAAAGGGAUCUGUGGCUUCUGGGAUAUGGUUAGUGAUGUAGCAGUUUCCAAAAUUUAGUCUAUUUGGAUAUUUUUGGUGAAGGAGGCAGAAUUCAAGGCUAAAUAGAUAUAUUAGACAUAGUUUGAUAGGUAGGUACCAGUGAGUCAGAUUUAGCUCUUGAUGUCUGUAUGGGCAAAAACACCCCAUCUUGUCUUGUUACCAGUGAUAACCCAUAAUUCUUCUAAGGACCUUCCAAUGAUCUCCUUGCGCCUGUCCAUCCAACUUACCCAAUUUCUUCUCCUUCCCUCAACCUUGUCAAGUGUAGCCAUUUUUUUCUAGGCCAUUAUCUACUCAUAGCACAUGCCCAAAGUAUGUGAGUUUCCCCUGCUGAUCAUCAUCUCAAGGAACCAUCAGCCUUAGUUUGGUCCAGGCUGGUUGACUGUUUCUUCUUGCAACCUAUGGUUCUUCUCCAGAUCUAUAAGGUGUCAUUCUUUUUUUCCCUUCUAUUCUGCUCUUUGUGGUUUUCAAAUCUAAUGGCAGCACAAUUUACCUAUUUUUAUUUUCGAAGCUUUGCACAGCCCAAAACUGGUACAGUGUCUCUGAAUUUUAGUUUGAUCUUGAGAGACUUUGAUGCCAUGGUCACAAAAGUUUAACACAGGCAUUUCCCUCUGCCACAGGAGACUUAAUAUAGUUAUAUUUGUGUAUUUACAUAUCACUUGUAUAUUAAUAUCUGCAUACAGAUCUGUCCUGCCGUAAAUCAAUUAGGUCCACAAAAGAAGCUGUUUAUGAAGUCUUCCUGGGGAUUGAAGGAAGCCUGUGAAACGGAAGACAAGCAGAUGGAUGGCCUCUAAGAUUCCUUCCCACUUGAUGGUUCUCUGAUUCGUACAAAGGCUUUGGCCCCCUCACAGGUCAAUUGCUGCAAGAUGACUGACGUUCUGGCUGACAGCGUUUCUCCAAACUCCUCCUUUGAACGACAUGUCAACAUUUCAAAAAAGCAAAUGUCCAAGAUGUCAAAAAGAAAUCACAUCAGUGUCAAAUUCUGAAUUUCAAAAGCAAAGCAUCUUUCAAAUGAAAUGAAACCUGAGUGGAAAAAGGCUUAUUCUUUGUAAAGGACAGAACUAGUUUCAGAAGAUAAAGGCAAAUACUGUGAUCGUGGUGGGCCCUCCUCUUUUUCAGAUGUAUAAGAGAAUGCAGCUCUCAACGUAAAAGGCUAUUAUUAUCAACACAAGAUGCUGUUUUCUUUUCAGGACCAAAUGGUGCAGUUGCAUUGAUGUGCUUCCCGCCCUUGUCCUGCCAGCUGUGUUCCUGCAGAAACUGAAUAUAUUUCAGAGAAGACAACUUUUUCCCAGAGAGUUGUUUCUGAGGCCUUCUAGAAAGCCUUCUUUAAAAUCUACUGCCUCUCCCCUUAUUCUACUACCACUGCUGGUGCUGUAGGAGUUCUAUGAAUAAGGAACCAUCCUGGCAUGAGAAUGUGGACAUCUCCAAGGAGGACAUCUUCAAAGAGGACAAGAGAGCAAGAACUUAUGGGCUUAAGGGGUAUUGAACCUCACCUAACAGCCCAGAUAAUGUAUCUGAAGGGGAAGAAAGCUAUUUAGUGAUACUUGCAGGGGCACUCCCUUGCUUCAGUCCUUGUAGAAUCUAAAACGGGAAGUGAAAUGAGUUCCCACGUUCAUUUUGCCAGAUAUUAUCUGGCUCCUGCCUCAGCCUUUUAGUGUCAUUUAGCAAAUUAAUGAAGUUCUAGGAAUUGUUGAUGCACCCACUGUCUGGGGAAGGAAUCUUAAAUCAUUGAAAUUCACAUUUCUUGAUGUUUGUGUGGAAGAGAUCAUUCUUUUCCUUUAAAAAAAAUCUAGGAAAUUCAUGUAUCUAUCACUGGCAGCAAAGAAAAGUCAAAUCUCCUUUAGAGUCAUGUCUGCUUCCUUUUGAGAUAUGUCCAUGUAGUUUUCUACGAUAUGGAACAAUGUUAUGUUAUAGUACUGUACUGUAUAAUAUAGUAUGUAAUAAUGUGGAAGUGUUUUUUUCAUUGCGUUAUUUGUUUGUUUUUUUAAUCUCCCAGUCUGGCCUAAAAUCUUGUCCUAUUAGUCUCCCAUCCAGGUCCUAAGAAUGGGUCUACUUAGCUCCUGAGCCCAAAAGCUGAUACCUGUGAAGACAUACAAUAGAACUAAACCAAACAAAGGUUCUCGCUUCUAUUA